UCCUGGGAGCUCAGCUGGUAAAGAAUCUACCUGCAUCGCAGGAGUCCCUAGUUUGAAUCCUGGGUCAGGAA
rnacentral:tRNA from 1 species